ACAACAUUCGGACCGUCGGUCUACCGAGCAAUAUCACCUGCUCGGUGGAAGAUCUUCCCUUUGUCGU
rfam:Bombyx mori DNA, contig: Bm_scaf8_contig6951, strain: p50T/Dazao, build 2, whole genome shotgun sequence.